rnacentral:rRNA from 1 species
UACGUAGGGGGCGAGCGUUGUCCGGAUUUACUGGGCGUAAAGGGCAUGCAGGCGGUCGGACGCGUUUUGUGUGACAGCGGAUGGCUUACCUAUCCGAGCAUACGAAAGACGGUUGGACUUGAGGACUCGAGAGGGACACGGAAUUCCGGGUGGAGUGGUGAAAUGCGUAGAGAUCCGGAGGAACACCGAAGGCGAAGGCAGUGUCCUGGCGAGUGACUGACGCUGAGGUGCGAAAGCCAGGGGAGCGAACGGG